rnacentral:tRNA from 1 species
GAGGGUAUAGCUCAAGUGGUAGAGUGCAUGCUUAGCAUGCACAAGGUCCUGGGUUCGAUCCCUAGUACCUCCC